GUCUUCGUGGUGUAAUGGCCAGCACACUUGUCCUGUAUUCGACAGGUCCAAGGUUCGAGUCCUGGCGAGUGCA
rnacentral:tRNA from 1 species